CUGCAAUUUUAUUUAAACAAGUUUUUCCCUACCCAAUUCCCUGCAGAGAAGUAUUGUACCCUUUUGUUGAUUGUAGUGGACAUAUUGCAGAUCUCUGAUUACCUUCCCAAAGGACCACCCACUACAAGAAGGUUUUGUGUUGCAAGCACAGCUUUGCUCGUUCCUCUCCCCUCCCAUUCACCUUCUUAUUUUUUCUUGUUUUUUGGGUUUUUUUUUUUUCUGUUUUUCUCCCAACCCUUUAAUUUUCCUAGCAUUCUCAUAUGCUGUGGAUGAGCUGACAGACUAGCCUGCCAUCUGUUCUUUCAUGACAUGGUGCAACCUAAUCAAUUAUCCCCAAACCACUUUGGAGUAAAUAAAAUGUCUACAAUAAUAAUAAUUAGUCAGUUAAAAAGAAAACAGCAUCACACAACUCCUGGUGGGAAUUAGGUAGAUUUCAGAACACAGCAUUUUAUUAACUGAGACUAUUAGACCAGGAGAUGACAACUUUGGGAGAAAAAGAAGUCACCUUCAGUAAUUUAUUCUGAGACUUGAGAAUAAGGGAGCACCCCUGGACUUUGGAUAUCUUUGACCCAUUGUAACCAGUGAUGUCAGGUUCAAGUAAAUUUGCCAUUGGUGCUGCAAUUAAUAGACACAUUAACAUAAACAUGAGAAUUUGCCUUAGCGUUAGGUCUGUAUUAAAAUACCAAUAAAUAUUAAAAAAGAAAUAAUGACCAGCAGUUGACAUUUAUAUAGUGUGAAGAGACAUAUACAUUUCUUCAAACGUACACAUGAGGCAUGACAUUUCUUCAGGGUGAGAUUUGUCUACAAAUAACAGCAUGAGUAGAAAUCCCUGAUGUAAGAGUGGAUUACACAUGCACACACUUCAAGAACAGUCAAAAAGCAGAAAUACGAGCUGUUACAAACAGAAACCAGGUUUGCAAUAUUAGGAAUUAAGAAAAUUGGAAGAUUGCUGUUAAUAUUGUUGAACACUCAAGAUCACACAAAGCCAAUACUCACAUAGUUAUUCAGGCCACUGUUUUCCACAAUGCAAACAACUGCUACGAUAAUUUUUUGACAUUGAUUUUGUCAGAUUACUGUAGCAGUUAUUCAACUUAAUCAAUUGCUGGGCAUUUGAAAUUUAUCUUUGCAUCUGAGUGACAAUUUCAGGAUUUUUUACUAUUGCUACAUGAAUGAAGCCAAGGAUAAAUCAGAAAGUAGCAGUAUUCUAGAAAGAUCAUUAGCACAUUGCCAACUAAAAUUUCAGCCAAAGGAUCAAUAUAAUAUCACUGAUCACACUGAUGACAUGAAGGAGGAAUUGUCUCAUUAUUCUCUGUAUUUUGAUUGCAAAUGAUUAUUACCUAUGUUCUUUGUGUCCUGAAAGAUGUCAACAUGUAUAGCUGUGCAAGUAUUAAAGACACAGUAAUAAGUAAAAUAACUUCAGGUGUAUAAGUGAUGUAUCCAGUCUUCUCUAAACUGUAAGGAUUUCACACCCUUUAAUUAUUUUCCUCUGGACUACCAACUUUACCAGUAAGUUAACAGACAACAUAACAGUGUGAGUCUGAACUUUCUACACAAAACCCGACUGUCUGAUGACCAUCCCAAGACAGAGAAGACAGUGAAUUCUGGAAAAAGAAAACUUGCAUGAACCAUCUUAGCAGCUAUGACAUAUAGAAAUACCAGACCACCUACUCCAGUAUUAUAAAGUCUAGGUAGCUCUAAAAGACAAAGUAAAAUGCUGAGAAUCUAUGUAACACAGAAUCUACGUGCUCACUUUCACAGUCACCCAUUGUGACUGGUCCAUCUUGGAGGGAGAUGGAGACAAUUACCCAUAAAGCAUAAUGCACAGCAGCAAGAAAUGGUGUAUUUUAUGAUGCUGUUUUUUACAUGCCAGAUUAGGUCUGUCCUUAAGCAUCUACGCUGAGGCAUGAGGCAGACUGAAGUUUAAACAUUCCUGGUCUUACUGAAAGCUCAGGUAAGAACAUAAACAAUCAAGCAGGAACAUGUACAGAGGGUGGAGAAAAAUCACCGUGAUGCAGGCCAGUGAAGAUAAAGCAAUGAAUCACAGAAGAUCUUCCAACAUUCCCUGUAUUACUGCACCACUAUGAUUUCUGUGACACGACAUGGAUCCCUUGCAGGCUUUUACAAACAUGAGAGUUCCCAUGUGUCGUUGACACUGAUGAAUUGCUAGAACGCUACAGAAGAACUUGGAAAUGGCAACAGAGCUGGCUCCACCGGAGUUAACUCAAGCUCCUGAGAGGGACCAGAGGGGUUUUGAUUCUUUUUAUUACAUGAUAUCAAUUAAGUGUUUAGUAAUUUACAAUAUAAAGCAACUUUCCAAUGGAAUUUUUAACAAAAUGGAAACAAAUUACCUUUGAGAUGGUUAUCAUUUGGAAUCUUGAGUAAAAUGAAAAUAAGACAAAUGCCAACACGCUUUCCUGCCGUCCAAAACAACUUGCCAGGCAUCCCUGUUUCAAAUCAAGUAAAUCUGUGCAGCUUCUCUUUGACAGCAACACAAAAUCUCAUGUGAAACACAGUGAAUGACACAGCUGAUGCAGAAGGCUAGCAGAAAUACUGCAUCAAGCAGCUUUUGUUUUGAAGUGGGUACCUCUGUUAUGCAACUCUUAGAAUUAGAAACUUCAGCAAGCAAAAACCACAAUUCCCAUACAGUUCUCAACUCAGAUGAUAUUUCCACACUUCUUAGGAACGGUCUAUUCACAACACAACAGUCUAUUCUAAAAUUCUGGCACCGGCAGAGACUGUAUUCGUAUCCCUUGGCUGGAGUAAAGGACCAAAUGAUGCAUUAUGGGUGGGAGGAAGGUGUUUACUGAAAGACAGAGGUAUUAUCCACUCAGUAAAGAAUGAUGACCAUGAACAAAAAACAGCAGAAGAGCAAUGUGCUGAUUAGGCACACCAACAGCUUUAACAGCUCCCUUCUGCUUCGAGGCUUUCUGCAGUCACUAGGAACAUGAGGCACACUACAGUGCACAGCGUUAGUAGUGUAACAGUAUGGAGCAGACCUAGCUGUAGUGAAGCGCUGACACUAACUUAGGAGUUUAUGAUCUUGUCCUUAUGCACACGGCUGAGAAAAAUCUAAGCUUGAUAUUAAAAACUUCUGAGCUGUUCACCAAAAUUCAUUUCAGUGACAAAUGGUGAAAGAAAGUGCAAGUGGUGACCACACCUCUUUACACUUUGGACACAAAAGAUGGAGUUUUGUGUUCUCGGGCUAUGGAAAUGAGUAUAUUUCUUUAUUUCUACCUCUUUGUUAGUGGGAAAAGAAGAAAGGGAGAGACACAGUGGAGUGAAGAUGAGGUGUUGUGUGUGCUUCCUGUCCAUGCAGCUAUGCAAAAUAAACUGGACUACAAGGGAAGGAAUGAGCAGCAUUACUCUGAAGAGCAGUACAGGCUCUACAGACCACUUGUCUGGGAGAAAUUGUCUUGUACUGAGCAUACAUUUGUACAACAUCUGACGCCAUUCCUUUGCAACCUCACUCUACAUAUGUUUUCUCACCAGUGUACACAGUGUUGCAGACACCAUUCCUCCUCCCCCAAGCAAGAAGAUCCUUUCAUUUCUCCAUGCCUCUUUGUCAUAUCGGCAGAUUCCUGCUGCUUCUUUUCUUUUCUUUUCUUUUCUUUUCUUUUCUUUUCUUUUCUUUUCUUUUCUUUUCUUUUCUUUUCUUUUCUUUUCUUUUCUUUUCUUUUCUUUUCUUUUCUUUUCUUUUCUUUUCUUUUCUUCUUCUCUUCUCUUCUCUUCUCUUCUCUUCUCUUCUCUUCUCUUCUCUUCUCUUCUCUUCUCUUCUCUUCUCUUCUCUUCUCUUCUCUUCUCUUCUCUUCUCUCUUUUCUUUUUCUUUUCUUUUCUUUGGUGAUUUCCAUGUGCACAACGCUUCCAGAGACGUCUGGCUUUCUCUGCAGUACAUACAGAAGGAGUCGCUCAACACUGCACAUUCAUGAGUGCUUACUUGUUUCCUCACUUGUUCCCUCUUUUUCUCUGCAGUUCUUGCAGUGUAUGCAACAUGACACAAAGUGUGCUUGGUCCUUCGCCAGACACAAGAGCAGCCUUCACACCUGUCCCCUUCUCCUAGCUUUUCUGCCAUUUUCUCAGCCUUUUUUCAGUGGGCAGGAAAGAAAACCUCCACACACACACGCCAGCUUCCCCUUGUGCUGCACACAGAAGCAGCUAGAUGCUCCUCAGCCUUUGAUCUCCUUUAAUCAGAAGGAAGGCGGCUGAGGAAGAAGGAUAUGAUCUUCCUUUCACGCUUAUUCCACUCCUUAGGCCCAAUAAAGAGGACAGCACAAGGCUGCUCAGGGUAUUAAGCGCGAGAUAAUCGAAGAAAUGACUCGGAGGGAUCUGCAGCCCGUUCGCUAACCCGAGCCUUCCCCUUUCCUGAUGCGCCUGAGCUGUGGGGAGGGAGGGCUUCCCUGCUAACAGGACUUAGAGCCUCUGCCCCCCUCCUACCACCUCACGCUCGUCUUUAUUAGCUUUUUCACACUACACAGUCCUCUCAUCGAUUACAAGGGCCGGCACAAAGCGACCUAAUGAUGGGUCAGUCUUAAUGAGAAAAGCGGCUGCUCUUGAAGUGGUGUGGCUUCGUCCUGCACCCCGCCGAGCCCCGGCAUGUAGGGCUUCGCCUCCUUUUAGAGGGAAGAGCCAUGGAAAAUCAACAGCGAGCAGCCUGGUGCCUCUGAACAGAAAGGGCCAUGUGCAUGGCUAUUUAGUGCUGUAAAAGAGAGAGCAUUUGCACAAAUGGGAGUGAACAUAAGGAGGCCUUCAGAGAAGAAUGGGGCCUUGGCAAAUUUAUAGACUCCCCUGAAAGAAAGUGAUUACAGAUCAUUAUCCAAUUGAGGCAGAUUGAUGGGUUAGGGUCAAAGUAAUACUGCAGAGCUCACUGGAGGGACAAUGCCUGCUUGUCAGUUCUGUCCGGGAAAAGAAAGAGAAGGGAAACUACCACACAGAGAGGAAAGACUUAAGCUUUUCCAGCCUGUAUUUGAAAAAUCGUUACUUAUCUUGAGCGUGUGUUCUUUAAAUUAAAAUAAAUAAAUAAACACCAACACAGACAAACACACACGAAACAACAAACCCUGACGUUGCAGUGUGACUGAGUUAAAACUAGGCCUUCAGAAUUGUAAAUGAUUGUGCAAAUACUGUGCAAACAGCACACGUAAAAAGCCUUGUGACUUACUCUCAGAGGACGCAAUGAGGAUUAAUAUUAGUAAUGGAGGAAUCGUAUAUUUAUUUCAUUAAGAAAAGAAGCUAAAGACAUUUUCUAAAAUAAAUAUGUUUUUUUGUUUGUUUGUUUUGUUUUAUUUUUUAGUGAAAGAAGGACCGUUUUGUUAACAGCUAUGGUUGAACAGCUUUGAAACCCUGCAACAUCUGGUCAAGCAAAACUCAGCAAUACUGACAUUGAAUAAAACAAGAAUAAAUGUGCUUCUAUUGUUUCUUCUGUAUUGAUUUUUAGAGUGUUUAAAAGUGCUUUGCAUUCAUGCACUUUUCAAACAGCCGUAGAAAUGGAAACAACAUGGCUCAAAAAGCAGCUGACAGCUUUUAUUGUGCAUUUGCCUCCCAUUUUCCAAUAUGAUUUUGGAAUGUAAAGAAUUUGAGCAAAGAGAGAAGACAAUGCAUUCAUGAGAGACCUGAUUUGUUUUUUAAUUGUGUUUAUUUAUUAACUUCUCUGUUGUUCCCAGCAUCUCAGAAGCAGAGCACCACAAGCACUUUAAUGGAUCUGCCGUCCCAGCGGAGAGCAGGGUAGCACUGGCCCUGUUUCAAAUAAAGGAUCAGUAGGGCAGCUUGCCUCCAGGCCACUGUCUUGAGAGUUUAGCAAGGGUUCCCUCCAAUUCCAUUUCACAACCACUGCAGAUACUGAAGUUACAGUCCCAGCAUUAGCUGUGAGUUUGCUGGUACCUUGGCGCACUCUUGCAGAAGUGCAAGGGUCUAUACUGAUUCAGAGCCUGUUGAGAAGCAGUAAUUUGCUAUGCUGGACUUUGGCCCAGGCAUGAGCUUGUCCUGCUAAUCCUUCAGAAAGUCUGUAGGAAUAUUAGGUACAGGUACUGGUACCCCAACAUCUAUUCUCUGAUCUGUUGCAGUGAUGGAAAGACCUGUCCUGCAGACACUAGAUAACUCUGGCUCAACCUUGCAAGUGACUGCAUUCAUACAGUCUUGCUCUUUCUCACUUAAAGCAGUAAGGAUAGCAUUUCUGGCUUCACACCCAUCUGCAAUUUCUAAAACUGUUAACAGCUUCAGGAGAGGCUUCCCAGACUCUCACUUAAGACAGUACUUCUGUACAGCACACACAUUUCUUUAUGUUCAUUUGAUAGCAUGGCCGUGUUCUUCUACAGAGUGCUUCAUAAAAGGCAUCUUUAAUACUUUUGCUGGAAAGAAAGAGAUCACUCACCAAAUUCCUGUUUUGGGGACAUCCCCUGGACUCUCGUCACCACUAUUUUAUCUUCUCUAUUAUGAUUCCCGAAUCACUAAUUCUCAAGACUCUAAAUUUUCAGUGUAACUGACAGCCCUUCUCCACCCCCCGCAAGGCCAUUUGUCAUCUCACCUUCUAUCUAUAAAGCAGAAAAACCCCCCAAAUGACAUCCAUCCAAGAAAAAUAACUAGAAAGAGCCCGGGGGUCUGUGCAAGAUGAUUCCAUGCAAGGCAUCUUCCUUUACCUCACCAUCUAGUGAAAUGGGGGUUAUGUUGCAUGUUAGAAAACAGUUCUGUGGUUCUUUGCCUACCUCACUCUGUCUGCUAGGCUGAAGUUCUAAUUUACACAUAUAUUCCUUGAGUUAGACUAAACACUUUGAAUCUUUCCGUACUUUUUUCCUCGUUCAUUUCAUUAUUGGGUGUGACGUAGGCUCCUCUAUGUCACAUACUCUUGAAUCUUUCAGCAUAUAGUAGAAUUGUAGCUGAGACAAGAUACCAAGUAUGAGCCAGCAUACACUGUAGUAAUGGUCAUUUUAUUUGUUGGGGUUUUUUGGUCUUUCCUUCCAGUGUUUCUCUGUUUUGGCCUAGCUGCAUUAUUGCUGGUUGUGCAUGGUUUAGAAACAACUUGCAGCUACUCUUCAUCUGACUGCAUUUGCUUUCACUUGCCUCCUCCAGUUCUGCAGAAGAUGUGCAUAUGUGCAGGACUCCAUAUGUUUUCGGAGAUAAUCUGCUUUUUACUACCAGUAAGAAUAACCUUGAGUACAUAUUGCACUGUCACAACAUAUUUUCUAUAUGAAUCAGAAAGUAAACUGGUGCACUGCAAAAGCAGACCAUAUUUUUAACAAGCAAAUUCAUAAACCAUGCUUUAUGAACAGAGCAAGCUGGAGGGUGGGGGCUGGGGUUAGGGAGAUCAUAGGAAAACAGAUGUGUGUUUAUGAUACAAACUCUGUCUGACCAACUUCAUGUUACAUUGGGGUUGAUCCAUGGAGAAGUCUCCUUCUAAUGGUGCUGAACUGUCUAUACUGUUUUAUUGAAAUCAGUGUGAGCACACAGACAGGAAAUCAGCACAAAGCAAGGUCAAGGUGAGGGAGGGGGAAUGGCUGUUCCCUUCCAUUCUAGUCAAGAAAACUAUCAGCUAUCCAGGAAAAACAAAACAAAACCACAAAUCCUACAUGCAGUCAGCUGGGAAUAAGGGAAGGAAAAGAGUGUUUCUCCUAAGGACACUUUCUGCUCUGUUUAUAGCUGUAGUUCAUAUGGCAUUUAAUACUUGACCCACAGGGUCACAGGUACAUAAGAAAUGCAUGGACAUAUUAUAACAGUUACAUUUCAUCAAUUUGUGCAAAACAGUCACAGGUGAGCUGCUACAUGCUUGGGUAGCAACCUUCCUAGUUCAGGGAUGGUCUCUGAAUCAUCCUAAGUCUGUCCCCUGGCAAAUUUUGAGUUUCAGCGACAAUUCUGCUUGAGUGAAAACUCAGAGCAGAAGUCCUGAGGCAUUCAGUGUUGGUGGAAGUUCUGCCACUGAGUUUAUAAGAUCGAGUUUAGCCUGAGUAAAAAACCUUGCUCUCUAGUUUUUGUUUUCAUUUUAUAACACUGACAAUAUUAUAGUAGCAAAGGAUUGAGUAAGCAAUCUUCCCUCAAAGAAUGUACAUAUUUAGCUUCCUAGUCAGGCUAGCGUGAGAGGGAUGAGAGAGAAUCCAAACCUUUUCAUAUGUUCCAGUAUCGUGGAAGAGUUGACUUAUUCUUACAUUCUUGAGGCAAAAUUAUAAAUAAAAAUUAAUCUGUUUAAUGCAGCUUCCUUUAUUUUUAGUAGCUCUUUUUUUCAUUUUAAAGAAGGGAGGUAUAUUGACUCCACAAAUGAAUUGGGCACCCUGAAACAUGUUUCUGCCUGCUGAGUCAGAUUGUAACAGUACAUGGUGUUCUUUGUGUUGAUACAGCAUCCCCUCUACAUACAGCUGGCAGAGUACUGACAGCAAUUUCAGAUAUAUAAUUUGUUUAUGAAAAAAUGCCAAAAUUGGUCUGUAAGUAUUAUCCAUUACCAGUUUCUCAAUUCUGCCUACAAACAGCUUGAAUAACAGAACAAACUUUAUGGUUUAGUGCCUUUUUUUCUCAGGGAAGAGCACCUUUCCUGUUCUCUUGAGUGGAGGAACUCUCAAGGAUGCCUACAUAGCAGGCGUCAACACUCUCUGUGUAGACAUAGAAUAAUAUACAGUGCAAAGCUCCCUGAAGAUCUGAUGAAAUCUCCUCUCUAGCAACAGAUCCAACUCUUACUUCAUUUGUACUGGGCUACUGUCUUUGAUUUACCAGAAUAUAUAUCCUUGUGUUGCAUUACAUUAUGGGUAGCAUUACUAUUGUGUCUGUAAAGCCUAAGGAUAUGAGCAGCGUAAGACUUAUAUGGCUUAUAUAUAAUUUCUAUUUGGAACAACAGAAGUAAGGCCAAUAUUUUCGGAAAUAUUGACCAAAGGAAACAUAUUACCUUUCUAUAGACACUUCUUUGUGCAUAAAGCCAUGAGUAAAUGAGCAUUUUACUUUAUUAGUGAAGAGAAUAUGAAGACUUUGUUCUGCCUAUAAGUGCCAUCAUACUUUCUGUUAGUUUCUUGUCCCUAAAGACAUGUUUGACCAUCAAGAUCAUGACUUUAUGCACAAUGAAAAGCUGAAGGACCUUUCUGCCCAGGUCACCCCUUACAAUCAAACCCAGGUCCAUAAUACAGCUCAACGUUGUUACUAUAUUCCUGCUGUUCACAGGAUCACAUAGGGGAAAAGGUUGAGAAACUGCAGUAGGUAGACAAGCUGUAACACACUAAGAAAAAUACUAAGGAAGAAAAUUUAGCAAAACUGUACUGACUACAAAGGAUGAAUUAGAUCCUUUGCUCUUCCAAGUGGUCCUUCUCUAUUGAGAGUGAGGUACAUGAGUGAUAGAGAUACUGAAGCCUGUGCUUUUGAGCAUGCUUAAACUACUUAGUGAAUAGUAGUAUAAUCCUGUAUUUCCAAGUUAGUUCAAUACAGCAAAAAACUAAUCUCAUUUCCUUGGACCUACCCAAAUAAACUGCAGAAAAAAUGUUGCUCAAUUGUCUCACAGGGGACCUGGUAUAUUUUAGUCCCCAAGUGUACAUGGUCUAAUUAAAACUGCCAUAUAACAAGAAGCCAGUCAAGAAACCCAGACAGCUUGGUUUAUGGGACAAAGAGCAGCUUCGUAUUAAUUCCAUCCUAAACAAAGAUCUGAGGAAGGAAUACAGGCUGAGGGGGGAGGGAGUAAAAGAAGCACAGCAGGACCAAAGAGAACAGCACAAGCGGACAGUCAGUUGGUCAAUGCAUCCAGUCCUGAUCUGAAGACCCACGGAAAACAGAGCAGCCAUUCAUGUGCUAUGGCAUGUGGGUCAACUGAAUUGAUCACAUGCUUGCCUGGUACUUACAGCUACGUUUUUGAAACAUCAUGUGGCAAUGUAUGACGAAAUUCAGCCUCUCACCACAAACUACAGUAGCAAAAUGACAAAUAUGUUUGAAUUCUUUCCUUUCUUUUUUUUCUUUUUUAUUUUUUUAAUCAGUGAUUUUUUUUAAAUUCAGAUGUUUUCUAAUACAUUUUUUUUUUCCCAUUGAAUCUCAUAAGGCACUGAAGUGAAUUUUAAAGAAGUCACUAUAUCUUGUGUUCCAUUUCGGAAGUAUAUCUCUUUCUGAUUAUCUGAUGAUUUUUAUCUUCCAGAAAAAUACAUCAAAGGCCUCCACGAAAUGCAUAGAUGUAACUAUUCUUAAGCACAAGACAAUUUCGUUGUUUCUUUCAAAUCACACAUUGAUCAAAAGACAUAUCAGAAAAUAAUUUUCCUUCCUAUUUGGUGCUACUUCCCGUUUGGCCAGAUGCAUUAGGUUGUUUGCCUUUGCUGUUUCUAAAGCAUCUGCUAGCAGUUAUGCCAGAAAUGUGAUAAUGACCAUGUUCGACCAGUAGCUUGAGCUGGUAGAAUCUGUGUUCUGGGUCUCAGACUGAGCAAAUUGCAGAUACUGUUUCUGCUAACACAAGCAGUACACGUCAGCGAGCACAGCGGAAAUUUGGGCUCUGUUUUCCACAAAGACAGGCCUAGGCCGAUAGACAGCAAAUCAGAAAGCCACAAAAUGGAAGGAAUCCAGGCUAAAGGUUUUGCAGUAAAUAAUCACGCUACAAUAGCAUCUAUAUCUUUCUUUGAGAGCUGAGUUAACCAGUUCAAAUCACUAGCAAGUUUGGGCAAAGAGGCUGCUCAUGGGCCAAGCCCUAAGAGCUCAUAUGUAAUUCUGCAAUCUCUGAGCUUGCCUGCAAGGCUGUGUUUGAAUAAUAAUGAUAAAAAAAAAGAGUGGAGAAGGAAAGAAAAAAAUAAAGAUAAGUUAGCAUUCUUCUGGCAGAUAUUUGGAAGCAUUUGUAUGAUUGUCAGAGCAAGAAGCUGUUGAAUGUUUCUGUUCUUUUAAGAAGAUGAGUUUAAGAGACGACUUUCCAUGCAGAUCAAGAUUUCUCCUCUUUCUUUCGUCCUCCCCCUUCCUUCUGCUGUGUGGUAUACGUUUGGCAUCAAGAGACAAAACAAAGAAAAUGAGAAGAAACAGCAGCAUGAAUCAUCAGUUUUAAGUGGGGAAGAUUUUCUCAGCAUUUGUUUUUCCUAGCAAUACCUUGAAGGAGAGACAAUCUAAUCUCCAACAGAUCCCAGGAACUGUGUAUUCUGCCAAUGGGUUAUGAAGGAAAGAAGAAUAAAUAUUGGAAGCAUAAACGUGCUGGUUGCAAAAGUAUAGUUGUAGAACUGUGUGUUAGCAGAGAGGGGGAAAAAAGGAAAAGGAAACAGUGAGACCUAAUUUGUUAAAACUCCAAAAACCAAACUGAAACAAUUCAGUUUGCUCAGUAUCUGAAAAAUAAAAGGGUUAUCACAGUGAAAUUUAAUAUUGCUGGUACAAAAAUUUCCUCAAUAUUGUAUACAACCAAGUAUGCCCUUCAUUUUGGUCUGGAGUACUCCUCAAAAGCUGUAAAAGAUUUCUUGCAUGCCUCUUAUCAUCUUGAAAUACACAUGAUUAGAAAUCUGCUAGAAUCAAGCUGCCAGAGGCAGCAGUCCUGUUAUAUACUGUUGGCCUGUGUGUCUGAUAUGUGACAUUUUCCUAAAUCCUGUCACGCAUAAUCUAUCACGUAACAAUCUUUUGGAUUAUCCUUUGAGACUGUGGUCUUUUAGCACAAACAUGAAUAUGCUUCAAAUUACUAUGCUCCCCAUUAGAAAGAUGAUCAGUGUUUUUGUGCCAGGGAAAAUAUUACCAGAUAACCAAAUGCGUACUAAAGACCAGUGCAAAGUAUCAGGAAUUAACAGAAGCACAAACCAGCCCUAAUGCUGAGAUUCUAUAUCGGCCAAAAAGGGAUUUUGUCUCCUCAGCUUGCGCUGCAGAAAUCCACGUUUGUAUAUUGCAUCUAUUUUUACAGUCAUGGGUCUGAAGGAAGGGCAGUAUUCUACAGCAUCUGUACCACAAGCUGGUCUCUAGGACAUAUCCAGAUGAUGUAAUCUGUAAAGACAUAGGAUACUCCAGAAUACUAUUUCCUUUACUAGAAAAUGGGAAGUUCUUUUGCUGAGUUCCUUUCAAUCACCUCUCUGUUGCCUUCUCCUCCAAAUCAAUUAAUCUUCAAUGAGUUUUGCAUAGUGCCUUAUGUUGCUGGAAUUUGCCUUGGUUUAGUCUGAAGCUCAAAAUCUCUGGCUUCUGAAGUUUCC
ensembl:lncRNA